rnacentral:rRNA from 1 species
UACGUAGGUGGCAAGCGUUGUCCGGAAUUACUGGGUGUAAAGGGAGCGUAGGCGGGAAGCCAAGUUGGAUGUGAAAUACCGCAGCUUAACUGCGGGGCUGCAUCCAAAACUGGAUUUCUUGAGUGAAGUAGAGGUAGGCGGAAUUCCUAGUGUAGCGGUGAAAUGCGUAGAUAUUAGGAGGAACACCAGUGGCGAAGGCGGCCUACUGGGCUUUAACUGACGCUGAGGCUCGAAAGCGUGGGGAGCAAACAGG